UAGGAUGUAGUGUAAUGGGAGCACAAAGAGUUUUGAGUUCUUUGGAGCAGGUUCGAAUCUUGCUGUCCUAG
rnacentral:tRNA from 1 species